AGCCAUGCAAGUGAAAGAGAUUUAGUCUCUUCGCGAAUCGCUCAGUAACACGUCGAUAAUCUACCCUUACGCCUGGAAUAAACUCGGGAAACUGAGUAUAAUACCAGAUAAUGCAUAUCAUCUGGAAUUGAGAUAUGCACAAAAGUUUUAACGUGUAAGGAUGAGUUGGCGGCUGAUUAGGUAGUUGGCGGGGUAACGGCCCACCAAGCCUUCGAUCAGUAGGGGCCAUGAGAGUGGUAGCCCCGAGAGGGUCACUGAGAAACUGGACCCAGCCCUACGGGGUGCAGCAGGCGCGGAACCUCUUCAAUGCACGACAGUGUGAAAGGGGGAUCCUACGUGCUUAUGUACAACAUAGGCUUUUGUAUAAUGUAGAUAAUUAUACGAAUAAGGGGUGGGAAAGACCGGUGCCAGCAGCCGCGGUAACACCGGCGCCCCUAGUGGCAAUCGUAAUUAUUGGGCCUAAAGCAUCCGUAGCCGGAUUAGUAAAUUCUCUGUGAAAUUUCUCAGCUUAACUGAGAGGAGUGCAGGGAACACUGCUUUUCUUGAGACCGGGAGGGGUCAAAGGUAUUCUGAAGGGAGCGGUAAAAUGUGAUAAUCUUCGGAGGACCACCAAUGGCGAAAGCAUUUGACCAGAACGGAUUUGACGGUGAGGGAUGAAGGCCAGGGGAGCAAAACGGAUUAGAUACCCGAGUAGUCCUGGCUGUAAACGCUGCGUGCAAGGUGUUGCGUAUUCUCGUGAAUGCGCAGUAUCGAAGAGAAGUCGUUAAGCACGCCGCCUGGGAAGUACGGUCGCAAGACUGAAACUUAAAGGAAUUGGCGGGGGAGCACCACAAGGGGUGCGGCGUGCGGUUUAAUCUAACUUAACGCAGAAAAUCUCACCAGAGGCGACAGCAAGAUGAAGAUCAGUCUAAAGGGCUUAUCAGAUGAGCUGAGAGGUAGUGCAUGGCCGUCGUCAGCUCGUGCCGUAAGGUGUCCUGUUAAGUCAGGCAACGAGCGAGACCUGCAUCCACAAUUGCCAGCGACAUCUUCGGAUGGAUCGGGAACAUUGUGGGGACUGCCUGUGAAAACAGGAGGAAGGUGCAGGCUACGGUAGGUCUGUAUGCUCCGAAUCUUCUGGGCUACACGCGCGCAACAAUGGUAUGGACAAUGGGAUACUACUCUGAAAAGAGACGUUAAUCCUCGAAACCAUGCCCAAGUACAGAUUGUGGUUUGUAACUCAACCACAUGACGCUGGAAUCCCUAGUAAUCG
rnacentral:rRNA from 1 species